UUAUACACGAUUAUAAGCAUAGUUUUUCGAUUCCGAAGAUUAACAAGGUCACAUUGCAAUUCCUUUCUAGGGUUUUUUGAGUACUAUUGUGUCAAAGUUGUAAUCUUGUUAUUUUUUGCGAAAUAGUUUGUUGAUGAUGGAACAACACGAAUGUUAUUACAAGGACACUGAUCCUGACAUAGCAUUCACUUAUAUUAAUGAGAAACUGCAAAAUGUGUUUGGUGAUGUUCGGGACGAUUUCCAAAGAUUUAUUUCCGUUGAGAAUUUGGGUCCAAAAUUUGGCUUGUAUGGUAGUUUUUACCAACUUAUUAGCGUUUCCCUUCAACAACUCAAUAUCAGGGCACAUCAAGUGAUUCUCCAACAAACAUCCUUCACACUAUAAUUUCUUUCCAAGUUGCUGGAGGCCGAUUGCUUUCAUCUCUCCAUGAAAAGUUAUUGACUUUGUCAAGAAUCGCGAAGAAUGAAAAAUAUGAUCGACCAAGAAUGCCUCACACAGGCAAAAAGAAGUUAACAGAAUGUUGACUUGGUUCGAAGGAACUGAAUUGUGGGGAUGAGCCAUCACUUUCUCCAUUCAUUAUAGAAGAAAAUUGGAUUUGCUGUGACAAAUGUCAAAAGUGGUGCCUUCUUCUAUAUGGUACAAAACCCGAGCAACUGCCUGGGAGUUGGGUUUGCAGCAUGUUCUGGCUUCCUGGAAUGAACCGUUGUGACGUUAGUGAAGAGGACACAACAAGAUCUCUACAUGCCUUGUACCAAAUUAUUGUCUUGAAUUACCUUUAAAAUCAUGAUGAUGGUAGUGAUUCAUUUGAUGUAAAAGCACAUAAUGCAAGGGAAAUUUCUGUAAAGAAAAGAAAAUUGAGGGAUCAAGACUAUUUGCAAUGUAAUGGUAAUCGCUUGGGUGACAGUGAUGCUAAUUCUUUUGAGAGGGAGGUUAGUGGCGAGAGUAGAUUUAGAAAACAGAAGAAAUCCAAGACUGAGAAAAGGGAAUCCAAUUCAAGCAAGGGUGAAGAGAAGUCAAGAACGACGAGAGGUACAAACAAUUAUAGAUUAAAGCUUCAGUCUGAAGCAGAUUUUGGCAUGAUCCGCAAGCAAGUUUGCAAAUCCCCUGCAAGCAGGCCCUUGGAUAUGGGAAGGAAGUGAAGACCUGCAUUGGCAUUUGGUGAAGAGACAUGAUGUAUGAAUUCCAGAAAUUCUAUUCCGGAGUUGUUAUAGUUCUCACUGACAAUUCUAAUCACAGGUUAGCUUAUGCCAAAACUUGUUUUGUCUUGAACCACGCGAUCUCAAGUACUUGUUUGUCAUUUUAAUGUGGAAAUGGAAACUUUCUAGUGGAUCACUGGUGCCGAUUGUUCUGGCAGCACAUCCUGAUGUCUUGUUCGCAAUUUCUUCCAGUUUUACUGCCUCAAGAACAUUCAGUUACGUGAAGAUGAUAGAUUCCUAACAAUUGCCAAGGGACUUGGGGAAUGCUCUAAUGAUCCAUGAAACCAUUGACAUGCGGACUGCAUAUGAUCACUGGAAACCAAUCCUAAAGAAAUUGUCCAGUAUUGGAUUUUCUUCUGACUCUUCUCAGGGCAGCUCUAGACAAGAUUAAGACUAUGGAAGCCAUAAAGCAUUAACUUGGUAACUGAUGUCUUCUCAGAAAUAAUUGCAACAUGAACAACAGCUUUCUUCAAUUAUUUCUUGUACUUGGUGGAGUAUCAUGAAAGCCUUCAUUGUAAGAUCCACUAAUUAAUAUGUGAGACUAGAAAGAUGCAUAUAGCAAUUUUGUUCUUUUAGGCAAAUAGUCAAUUUGGGGUAUCGGUAAAGUAGUUGCCAUUAGCUAUCUGAAUUUGAGCUGCCGUUUGUGUUUUAGUUGAGCAUGGAAUGCUCUAAAUUGGGCCCUAAUUUGUUGCGGAUUCUUGGUUUUACUGAUGCCAGAAAUCAGCUUGCAAGUUAUCAGCAAUUGUGUAUACUAGACUACUAGUGAUAUUAUUGUUAUCAUACAGUAUUUGUAUGCCUAGUCCACCUUACAAUGGAAGGCAUAAAACAUGACAAAAUCUCUAGCUUAACUUAGUGGGAGGACUUUCUCAGUGUACAGCAGGCGAACUGUUCUUUCAAAUCGUGUUGUUUUUUUUUUUUUUUAAUUUUUUUCCAAUCUACAACUAUACAUGUAUGCAUUUCAUUAUGAUUUUUCCGUCAUUUUUAUGAUUUUUAUUUGUUUCAUAAAGUUGAAUGGAUUUUAGCUUAAUUUCCUAUCCAUUAUUGACUCAUAUCUUUUAUGGAUCAUUCUUAGGUGCAAGUUGCUGCUCAGGAAAUGUAAAUGAAUCUCUUUUGAUUGGACAGUUAUCUUACCUGUGUGAAGAGAAAGUUUCAAAUCUGAAGACACUGAAGCCUCUUAACCAUAAUGAUUUUGAUGCUGACUAGUAAGACCCUUCUAGAAAACUUAGUCAUCCAGAGGCAACGCUGCAAGAACUGUUACGUAAAUUUUUACUCUUGUCCUCUCAUACCAAUGAAAUCUUUGAAAUUGAUAAAUGUGGACGCAAGAAGGAGGAUUCUUUUGCAAUGGAAUGCUUGGACGGGUCCUAAAAUUAAGAAAGUGAGGAAGAAAGAGGAUAUACAAAACUAUGCUCGAGUCUCGCGGUAGCUCUCCCUUUACUUUAAACGCGGCUCUGUGUAUAGUUACUUAAAACUAAUGCAUAUCUACAGGUUAAACACCCUCUUUAGUAUUUGCGACUGAUCUGUCUAAACUUAAGAGAACUUGACUCGUAGCAUGUCAGCAUUUAACUUGAAACUCUUAAAUCACAACCUUUUGUAUUCCUGUAAAAGAAUGAUGAAAUUACUUAAUCAAAAUUUGGACUCCUAUGAAGU